rnacentral:piRNA from 1 species
UGGCCAUAUACCAUCCCUACUUUUGUC